CCUACGGGGGGCAGCAGUGGGGAAUUUUGCGCAAUGCUCGUGAGAGUGACGCAGCGACGCCGCGUGAAUGACGAAGGCCUUCGGGUCGGAAAGUUCUUUCGACAGGGAAGAAAAUGCCUAUAAGUAACUGUGUAUGUAUUGACGGUACCUGUAUAAGCAGCCCCGGCUAACUCCGUGCCAGCAGCCGCGGUAAUACGGAGGGGGCGAGCGUUGUUCGGAGUGACUGGGCGUAAAGAGCACGUAGGCGGUGUUGUAAGUCAUUAGUCAAAGACUAGAGCUCAACUUUAGUAAGGCUAGUGAUACUAUAAUCCUAGAGUAUCAGAGAGGAAUGCAGAAUUCGUGGUGUAGCGGUGAAAUGCGUAGAUAUCAGGAGGAAUACCGUUAGCGAAGGCGGCCAUCUGGCUGGAAACUGACGCUGAGGUGCGAAAGCGUGGGUAGCAAACAGGAUUAGAUACCCUUGUAGUC
rnacentral:rRNA from 1 species